UGCGUAGGUGGCCCGGUCAGUCAGAUGUGAAAGCCCUGGGCUUAACCUGGGAACUGCAUUUGAUACUGCCGGGCUAGAGUAUGGUAGAGGGAAGUGGAAUUCCGGGUGUAGCGGUGAAAUGCGUAGAUAUCCGGAGGAACACCAGUGGCGAAGGCGACUUCCUGGACCGAUACUGACACUGAGGCACGAAAGCGUGGGUAGCAAACA
rnacentral:rRNA from 1 species